GGAAAAUGGAAGGUAGGCAGUGGAGUAAGACGGACACCUGGAAGAAGAGCUAAUUGGGAGUAACUCCUCCUUCUGCUGCUAUCCUGACAUGCAUUCUGCAAACACAUGACUGCUGGAUGAGCAAAGACUUGCAAGAUGGACUUUGCAGACGCAGGUGCAGCACUCAAGGCUGGGAGCAAGGCGAAGUACAGAAGGAUCAGCCAAAAUUACCCAGGGCAGCAACAGGAAUGAAC